rnacentral:rRNA from 1 species
AAUGAACGCUGGCGGCGUGCCUUACACAUGCAAGUCGAGCGAGGCGUGGAGCAAUCCACAGUCGAGCGGCGAACGGGUGAGUAACGCGUGGAUAACCUGCCCUGAGAUGGGGAAUAACCCGGGGAAACUCGGGCUAAUACCGCAUGACACCGAGAGGUCAAAGGCGGCUCGCAAGGGCUGUCGUCUUAGGAGGGGUCCGCGUCCGAUUAGCUAGUUGGUAGGGUAAUGGCCUACCAAGGCGACGAUCGGUAGCCGGCCUGAGAGGGUGAUCGGCCACACUGGAACUGAGACACGGUCCAGACUCCUACGGGA